CCUACGGGAGGCAGCAGUGGGGAAUCUUGCGCAAUGGGCGAAAGCCUGACGCAGCAACGCCGCGUGCGGGAAGAAGGCUUUCGGGCUGUAAACCGCUUUCAGCAGGAACGAAAAUGACGGUACCUGCAGAAGAAGGAGCGGCCAACUAUGUGCCAGCAGCCGCGGUGAUACAUAGGCUUCAAGCGUUGUCCGGAUUUAUUGGGCGUAAAGAGUUCGUAGGCGGUCAAGUAAGUCGGGUGUGAAAAUUCUGGGCUCAACCCAGAGACGCCACCCGAUACUGCUUAACUUGAGUUCGAUAGGGGAGUGGGGAAUUCCUAGUGUAGCGGUGAAAUGCGCAGAUAUUAGGAGGAACACCGGUGGCGAAGGCGCCACUCUGGAUCGAUACUGACGCUGAGGAACGAAAGCAUGGGUAGCAAACAGGAUUAGAUACCCUGGUAGUCCAUGCCGUAAACGGUGGGCACUAGGUGUGGGUUUCUAUUAACGAAAUCCGCGCCGUCGCUAACGCAUUAAGUGCCCCGCCUGGGGAUACGGUCGCAAGACUAAAACUCAAAUGAAUUGACGG
rnacentral:rRNA from 1 species